rnacentral:rRNA from 1 species
GACGAACGCUGGCGGCGUGCUUAACACAUGCAAGUCGAACGGUAAGGCCCUUCGGGGUACACGAGUGGCGAACGGGUGAGUAACACGUGGGUGAUCUGCCCUGCACUUCGGGAUAAGCCUGGGAAACUGGGUCUAAUACCGGAUAGGACCACUGCCUGCAUGGGUGGUGGUGGAAAGCUUUUGCGGUGUGGGAUGGGCCCGCGGCCUAUCAGCUUGUUGGUGGGGUGAUGGCCUACCAAGGCGACGACGGGUAGCCGGCCGGAGAGGGUGACCGGGCACAGUGGGACUGAGUGACGGCCCAGACUGCAACGGGGGGCAGCAGUGGGGUAUAUUGCACAAUGGGGGCAAGCCUGAUGCAGCGACGCCGCGUGAGGGAUGACGGCCUUCGGGUUGUAAACCUCUUUCAGCACCGACGAAGCGCAAGUGACGGUAGGUGCAGAAGAAGGACCGGCCAACUACGUGCCAGCAGCCGCGGUAA